GCUUCCUACAGCAGCACAUAUACUAAAAUUGGAACAAUACAGAGACGAUUAGCAUGGCCCCUGCAUGCACAAGGACGAACCGCAAAAUUGUGACGAGCUGCCUACUCCU